rnacentral:rRNA from 1 species
ACCCUAUGAAGGGCCAGUAGUGAGCUUAAUUAGCAUAGCCCAGAAUGACAGGUCGAGGUGUAGCUAACAAGGGGGGAAGAGAUGGGCUACAUUCCCUAAAGAAGGGAACACGAAAGAUGACCUGAAAUGCAAACUAGAAGGAGGAUUUAGCAGUAAGCAGAAACCAGAGAGUUCCGCUGAAGCAGGCCCUGAAGCGCGUACACACCGCCCGUCACUCUCCCUGAACUAAGAAAAAAAAAUAACUAAUGCCAGACAUGGUGCCAAGGGAGACAAGUCGUAACAUGGUAAGUGUACCGGAAGGUGCACUUGGACAAAC